rnacentral:rRNA from 1 species
AUUGAACGCUGGCGGCAGGCCUAACACAUGCAAGUCGAGCGAGCGGCGGACGGGUGAGUAAUGUAUGGGGACUGCCCUAUAGAGGGGGAUAACUUCUGGAAACGGUCGCUAACACCGUAUACUAUCGGAUCACCCAUAGGGGAUUAGCUAGUAGGUGGGGUAAAGGCUCACCUGGGCGACGAUCUCGAGCUGGUCUGAGAGGAUGAACAUCCACACGGGAAUUGAGACACGGCCCAGACUCCGACGGAGGCAGCAGUGGGGAAUAUUGCACAAGGGGCGCAAGCCUGAUGCAGCCAUGCCGCGUGUAUGAAGAAGGCCUUCGGGUUGUAAAGUACUUUCAGUGGGGAGGCGUUACCGACAGAAGAAGCACCGGCUAACUCCGUGCCAGCAGCCGCGGUAAUUC